rnacentral:lncRNA from 1 species
AAAAUAUAUAUAUAUAUAUUAAAAAGCUUUUUCUACAAUGAUUUUUCCGCGUCAACUUUCUCCCGUCGGUGCUUUUUUUUUUUUUUUUUUCUUUUUUAAAUGGGAUUCUUCCCUGUGGAAAAAAAAAAAAGAAAAAGAAAAAAUAGGAGGGUUUGCUGCACGCAGAACACGCCCCAACCUCCCAAGCGGCCCGGGCACCCUUCCCAUCCCUAUGGGGCCGCACCCCGUACAGCGCAGGGAGAUUUGUCCCAUUAAAAUGGCUCUCGAAGUAGUGACUCUAAUAAUAACAAUCUUUGAUUCCUUGCCGUUCUGUUGCAGGGUGUGCAGCAGUGUCCCCCUCCCAGCCUCUAGGCACCCUCGGGUCCCCACUCCAAGAGGUGAAAUGUUGCCUGGACAGCCCUGUAGUUGGAGGUCCAAGGCAUCCAGCUUCAUUUGUGGCAGUGUUUUCUCUCAGGACAGUUGCCUGUUUUGGUUCCGCAGGCCAAAAGGAGGCUACUUUCCUGUGCAAUCUUGGGAAAAUCUUGUCUGCCUCGGUUUCGCCCUCUAUGAAACGGGAAUAACAGUCAUGACAGACCCCUCCUUUUAGAUGCUUGGAUCAAAGGCAUGAAGUGGAAAAGAGCAGAGAUGUCUGCAAUAUUUAAGCACUCUUUGAGAUACAAGACUAAUCAAUGUAGUUCCUGCCACAUACUUGAGAACUGCAGUUUAUUAAUACAUGUGUUUUUGCUCUGUUAAACAAAUAGUCAUGCCACUCAAGUUCAGUUUUAAUGAAAAAAAAAAAGAAAAAAGAAAAAAAUAUUCUUUAUGGAUAAAGGGAGAGGAAUAGCCAAAUUCAAAACAGUGGUGAGAUUUCCCUCUUCUCAAAAAUUACGGAAAAAAAAAAAGAAAUCUGUCAGUGUGUAGUUGUAGGUCAUUUAGAAGGAAAGAGGGACACUGGAAAUAUUAGUAAAUUACUAUAGAAGAUGCUGAUGAAAACAUCUGGCCAACUGGUUGUAUUGACAUAAAUUGGAGUACUCUAUGAAUGUCUCAAGCAUGGAAAUAGAAUUAUUAUUGGUCACCAAUUUGAUAUGAAAAAAAAAGAAGGUAAUUCUUUCCUUCAGUGUUCCUAUUUUGGAUUUAUGCAGUAUACUUUAGCGUUUCCCUCUUUAAUUCAGUGCACGUGAAUGUCUACCACAGUUUAACUUUAUAUAUCAGGUACGCUUCAGAAACUGAAAAAGUCUCCAGCUGAUUUAGCAGCUGAGGCAUUACUCAUCAGAAUAUCUGAUUACUGGCAUAUUAAGCAGCAGACACAGUGGAACAGAAUAAACAUGAAGUACUGCAUCUACCA